rnacentral:rRNA from 1 species
CGCUUGUUAGUUUGAUCCUUGCUCAGAUUGAACGGUGGCGGCAGGCCUAACACAUGCAAGUCGAGCGGAUGACAGGAGCUUGCUCCUGAAUUCAGCGGCGGACGGGUGAGUAAUGCGUAGGAAUCUGCCUGGUAGUGGGGGACAACGUUUCGAAAGGAACGCUAAUACCGCAUACGUCCUACGGGAGAAAGAAGGGGACCUUCGGGCCUUGCGCUAUCAGAUGGGCCUAGGUCGGAUUAGCUAGUUGGUGAGGUAAUGGCUCACCAAGGCGACGAUCCGUAACUGGUCUGAGAGGAUGAUCAGUCACACUGGAACUGAGACACGGUCCAGACUCAUACGGGAGGCAGCAGUGGGCAAUAUUGGACAAUGGGCGAAAGCCUGAUCCAGCCAUGCCGCGUGUGUGAAGAAGGUCUUCGGAUUGUAAAGCACUUUAAGUUGGGAGCAAGGGCAUUAACCUAAUACGUUAGUGUUUUGACGUUACCGACAGAAUAAGCACCGGCUAACUCUGUGCCAGCAGCAGCGGUAAUACAGAGGGUGCAAGCUUUAAUCGGAAUUACUGGGCGUAAAGCGCGCGUAGGUGGUUUGUUAAGUUGAAUGUGAAAUCCCCGGGCUCUACCUGGGAACUGCAUUCAAAACUGACAAGCUAGAGUAUGGUAGUGGGUGGUGGAAUUUCCUGUGUAGCGGUGAUGCGUAGAUAU